rnacentral:rRNA from 1 species
CAGUAGCCGCGGUAAUACGUAGGGUGCGAGCGUUAAUCGGAAUUACUGGGCGUAAAGCGUGCGCAGGCGGUUUUGUAAGACAGGCGUGAAAUCCCCGGGCUCAACCUGGGAAUGGCGCUUGUGACUGCAAAGCUAGAGUGCGGCAGAGGGUGAUGGAAUUCCGCGUGUAGCAGUGAAAUGCGUAGAUAUGUGGAGGAAUACCGAUGGCGAAGGCAGCCCCCUGGGAUAACACUGACGCUCAUGCACGAAAGCGUGGGGAGCAAACAGGAUUAGAUACCCGAGUAGUCCCUGUCUCUUAUAC